CUCUCACUAGCUCUCUUACUUCAGUUUUCUUUUAUCCAUCAUUUCUAUCCCUCUCUUGUUCCAAUUCUUCUCCAGACCAGUAUCAACUCCUUCUUCCAAACAUAACCACCAUCCACGCACACCAUGCUUCAUCAUCUAACCAUCACCAACACUUUUUUCAUUCAUUUUCCUUGAAAUUUCUGUACUUGGCCGUGGAGCUUGAAGGAGAAGGAGUUACCGCACCGUUUUCUCGUUUCUUGACCGAUCGUCGUGCGGCCAGUUGCUACGCGUAGACCUCGAGGUUCAAUUGUGGAAACUUUGGGGUUGACUGAACAAGCUUGUGAGGGAGACCUGCACCGCGAGACUGGAACAACUCGAGACGUUCGACAGCUGGUUCGUGAUGAUUCGUCACUCGGGGAGGACCAGGAGCGUAAUUACCAUUACUGAAGUUUCGACGAGGACCCGAACUGAAUGCAGGACCAGAUGAGGGCCGAUGAUGGAAGUAUAGGGUAUGAGUGUUUAGAGCCUACUAAGGUUGGGUGUUAGUGUCAUAGCUCUGAUUUUCAUUUCUUAUUUUGGGGCAGGGUAGGUCCCCGACUAUUAGCUUUUUGUGUGGUUCUCUUCCAUGAGGAUCACAGGGAGUUUGUCGGACGUAGGAGGUCCUUUGGAGGCCGUUUUGGGCUGACUUACUUUCUUGGAGGACUGUAUUUAUAAAACUUAUGACUCUGGCUAUGGGUCGCACUUGUUGCCUUCGGGCACCACUUUCAGUUACUUGAUGUUACUUUCCGUCACUUGAGGGCACUCGUGACGAUGUUUUUAGUUGCAGCGAGGGCUGUACUUAUAUCGUAUGUUAGUCGUUGUUAAUCGCGAUUGGGUUGAGC